rnacentral:tRNA from 1 species
GCUUUGGAUGUGAAGCGGUUUUCACGAAUGACUGAAAAUCAUUUCUUGGUUGGUUCGAUUCCAACUCAAAGCA